CCUACGGGAGGCUGCAGUGGGGAAUAUUGGACAAUGGGGGCAACCCUGAUCCAGCCAUGCCGCGUGUGUGAAGAAGGCCCUCGGGUUGUAAAGCACUUUCAGUGAGGAAGAACGCCUGGUGGUUAAUACCCAUCAGGAAAGACAUCACUCACAGAAGAAGCACCGGCUAACUCCGUGCCAGCAGCCGCGGUAAUACGGAGGGUGCGAGCGUUAAUCGGAAUUACUGGGCGUAAAGCGCGCGUAGGUGGCUUGAUAAGCCAGUUGUGAAAGCCCCGGGCUCAACCUGGGAACGGCAUCCGGAACUGUCAAGCUAGAGUGCAGGAGAGGAAGGUAGAAUUCCCGGUGUAGCGGUGAAAUGCGUAGAGAUCGGGAGGAAUACCAGUGGCGAAGGCGGCCUUCUGGACUGACACUGACACUGAGGUGCGAAAGCGUGGGUAGCAAACAGGAUUAGAUACCCUAGUAGUC
rnacentral:rRNA from 1 species